rnacentral:lncRNA from 1 species
GCCAAUAUUGUCUUCAAAUUUUUACAAGAGACACUAAACAAGAUUUGAUUAACCUAAAUAAAAUACAAAAGAUAUCUAAAAAGCAAAAACUUAGUUGUCUCUCAGAAAGAGUUAGAUUUAUCGUCUUCAGCCAGACUAAUGCAGAUUUAUCCUCACUUACCCCAUGUCGAAUAUUAGAUUGACAAAUUCUAGUGGGUAGGGUGGGUGAGGUGAAUCAAACAGGGCAUUCACCUCCUGGAUUUGAAUUUUUUCAAUUGGCUCAUUCAGAAAAUC